GCUCCCGACGCUCCCGACGGCGACGAGGAUGGAACUCUAGGGUUUUAACACCCAACCAUGAGAAGGUGGAUCUCGGUUGUUUCUUGUUUCUGGAAUGGAUUAUUAAGGUUGUUUCUUAGCUUGAUUUUAAUAUAAUCGUUGUUGAUGGGAAGAUUCUGGGUAAAAGAUUCAAGCGGCUCGGGUUAUGGGAAGAAGAGAUCAAAGUAAGAUGUUGGUUGAGAAGGAAGGGACUUCGGUUUAUUGACUUGUAUUUUUCUUUGAUCUGCUGGUUGAUUUGGAGAUGGGAUCAUGUGAUGGUGUUAUGUGGGUUAGUUCUCCGGUUGGGAAAUCAAAAGAUCCGGCCAAUCUUGAAGGAUGUUUCAGUGCUAGUACAACAAGGUAAUCAAAGGUUGAUGUCAGAAUCAAGCGGUAAUGAUUUACUUCACGGAGUAAAGGACAUGUUCCAAAUGGAAGCAAAGGAAUUUGUUAUCUCGUUCCUCGAAAGGAUCGGUUCUUUAUCUUGUUUGUAUAAAACUUAUACUUGGGGGUCUGUGACUGGAUGUUAUCGGUUUCAUUUAACUUUGGCAUAUUGGUAUUGGACGUGGACAAAAAAAUUUGUUAACAAUAUACGGUUUAAGUGGUGGAGUCAUAUUGUAUUUUGGGUAUGGAAUUUUAUAAACACGUCUUUUAUUCCUA